rnacentral:rRNA from 1 species
AUUGAACGCUGGCGGCAUGCUUUACACAUGCAAGUCGAACGGCAGCGCGGGCUUCGGCCUGGCGGCGAGUGGCGAACGGGUGAGUAAUGCAUCGGAACGUGCCCAGUAGUGGGGGAUAGCCCGGCGAAAGCCGGAUUAAUACCGCAUACGACCUGAGGGUGAAAGCGGGGGACCGAAAGGCCUCGCGCUCUUGGAGCGGCCGAUGUCGGAUUAGCUAGUUGGUGGGGUAAAGGCUUACCAAGGCGACGAUCCGUAGCUGGUCUGAGAGGACGACCAGCCACACUGGGGCUGAGACACGGCCCAGACUCCUACGGGAGGCAGCAGUGGGGAAUUUUGGACAAUGGGGGCAACCCUGAUCCAGCCAUGCCGCGUGCGGGAAGAAGGCCUUCGGGUUGUAAACCGCUUUUGUUCGGGAAGAAAUCCUCUGGGCUAAUACCCCGGGGGGAUGACGGUACCGGAAGAAUAAGCACCGGCUAACUACGUG